rnacentral:rRNA from 1 species
AAACCCUUUGUAAUUGAAAUCAGCGUCUGAAAAAACAUAAUAGUUACAACUUUCAACAACGGAUCUCUUGGUUCUGGCAUCGAUGAAGAACGCAGCGAAAUGCGAUAAGUAGUGUGAAUUGCAGAAUUCAGUGAAUCAUCGAAUCUUUGAACGCACAUUGCGCCCCUUGGUAUUCCAUGGGGCAUGCCUGUUCGAGCGUCAUUUGUACCUUCAAGCUCUGCUUGGUGUUGGGUGUUUGUCUCGCCUUUGCGUGUAGACUCGCCUUAAAACAAUUGGCAGCCGGCGUAUUGAUUUCGGAGCGCAGUACAUCUCGCGCUUUGCACUCAUAACGACGACGUCCAAAAAGUACUUUUUACACUCUUGACCUCGGAUCAGGUAGGGAUACCCGCUGAACUUAAGCAUAUCAAAAGGCGNGAGANGNNGAGCACUACCUAGA